rnacentral:rRNA from 1 species
GACGAACGCUGGCGGCGUGCCUAACACAUGCAAGUCGAACGGAAAGGCGCGGCGCUUGUGGGGUGCUCGAGUGGCGAAGGGGGGAGUAAAACGUGAGGAAACCGCCCUUGACUGUGGGAUAAAACUAGGAAACUGGGGCUAAUACCCGGUAGGAGCUCCUGCUGCACGGGGGGGGUUGGAAAGAUUCGGCGGUUGGGGAUGGUCUCGCUGCUUAUGAGCUUGUUGGUGGGGUAGGGGCGUACCAAGGCUUUGAAGGGUAGGCGGCCUGGGAGGGUGGCCGGCCACCUUGCUCCUACGGUACGCCCCAGUCUCCUACCUGCGGCAACAGUGGAGAGUAUUACGCAGUGGGCGGGCGCCUGUUACGGCAACGCCGCGUGCGUAAUGACGGCCUUCGGGUUGUAAACCACUUUCGCCUGUGACGAAGCGUGCGUGACGGUAAUGAGUCAGAAAGCACCGGCUAACUACGUG